UACCUGGUCUUGACAUCCACAGAACUUUCCAGAGAUGGAUUGGUGCCUUCGGGAACUGUGAGACAGGUGCUGCAUGGCUGUCGUCAGCUCGUGUUGUGAAAUGUUGGGUUAAGUCCCGCAACGAGCGCAACCCUUAUCCUUUGUUGCCAGCGGUCCGGCCGGGAACUCAAAGGAGACUGCCAGUGAUAAACUGGAGGAAGGUGGGGAUGACGUCAAGUCAUCAUGGCCCUUACGACCAGGGCUACACACGUGCUACAAUGGCAUAUACAAAGAGAAGCGACCUCGCGAGAGCAAGCGGACCUCAUAAAG
rnacentral:rRNA from 1 species